rnacentral:rRNA from 1 species
AAUGAACGUUGGCGGCGUGGAUUAGGCAUGCAAGUCGAGCGAGAACCCCGCAAGGGGGGACAGCGGCGAACGGGGUAGUAAGGCGUAGGUGACGUGCCCUGGGGACCGGAAUAGCCACGGGAAACUGUGGGUAAUGCCGGAUAAUCUCUUCUUGUUUGAACAUUUGAAGAGCAAUGGGUGUGAUUCCGCCCUUGGAGCGGCCUACGUGGUAUUAGCUAGUUGGUGAGGUAAUGGCUCACCAAGGCGACGAUGCCUAGGGGGUNUGAGAGCAUGGCCCCCACACUGGGACUGAGAUACUGCCCAGACACCUACGGGUGGCUGCAGUCGAGAUCUUCGGCAAUGGACGCAAGUCUGACCGAGCGACGCCGCGUGCGGGCUAAGGCC